AUAGAAGCUAGUGCGAACGGAAUA
rnacentral:siRNA from 1 species